AGUGAACGCUGGCGGUAGGCCUAACACAUGCAAGUCGAACGGCAGCACAGUAAGAGCUUGCUCUUACGGGUGGCGAGUGGCGGACGGGUGAGGAAUACAUCGGAAUCUACUUUUUCGUGGGGGAUAACGUAGGGAAACUUACGCUAAUACCGCAUACGACCUACGGGUGAAAGCAGGGGAUCUUCGGACCUUGCGCGAUUGAAUGAGCCGAUGUCGGAUUAGCUAGUUGGCGGGGUAAAGGCCCACCAAGGCGACGAUCCGUAGCUGGUCUGAGAGGAUGAUCAGCCACACUGGAACUGAGACACGGUCCAGACUCCUACGGGAGGCAGCAGUGGGGAAUAUUGGACAAUGGGCGCAAGCCUGAUCCAGCCACACCGCGUGGGUGAAGAAGGCCUUCGGAUUGUAAAGCCCUUUUGUUGGGAAAGAAAAGCAGCAGGUUAAUACCCCGCUGUUCUGACGGUACCCAAAGAAUAAGCACCGGCUAACUUCGUG
rnacentral:rRNA from 1 species